GACGAACGCUGGCGGCGUGCCUAAUACAUGCAAGUCGAACGCUUCUUUCCUCCCGAGUGCUUGCACUCAAUUGGAAAGAGGAGUGGCGGACGGGUGAGUAACACGUGGGUAACCUACCCAUCAGAGGGGGAUAACACUUGGAAACAGGUGCUAAUACCGCAUAACAGUUUAUGCCGCAUGGCAUAAGAGUGAAAGGCGCUUUCGGGUGUCGCUGAUGGAUGGACCCGCGGUGCAUUAGCUAGUUGGUGAGGUAACGGCUCACCAAGGCGACGAUGCAUAGCCGACCGGAGAGGGGGAUAGGCCACACGAGGACGGAGACGCGGCCAAGACGACUACGGGAGGGAGCAGUAGGGAAUGGUAGGCAAUGGUCGAAAGUAUGACCGAGCAAGGCCGCGUGAGAGAAGAAGGUGUUCGGAUCGUAAAACUCUGUUGUUAGUGAAGAACAGGGACGUUAGGAACUGAACGGCGCCUGACGGUAUCUAACCAGAAAGCCACGGCUAACUACGUG
rnacentral:rRNA from 1 species